GGGGGGGGACGCAGUAAGAAGACUAAUGAGGAAAAGAGAGACGUAGAGAAAAAGAAAACAGCGAGGGGGAGCUGAGGAGGAGGAAAGGGGCAGAGGGGGGGGACAGAGAGGGGAACUAUCCCGCGGGCGCAGUGUGACCCGUGGAGUGGAACGCCACGUGACGCAGGUGCAGAGUUCAGCACCCGCGUGUCCGCGAGCCAUUUCUCGCUCAACAAAGACGGGAAGCUGCCGAGCAUCAGCGGUUACAACGACGACAGGUUGGCUGGAACUACAAACAAAGAGGCUGAAGAAAAACAACAACAAAAACCCCGCAAACACGGAAGAGAAACCCGCCGUUCCCACGGAUGACCCCGGGCGGCGUGCGUUCAUCGCCGUCGGUUUUAGAAUAUAUAAACGAGUAUAUUUAGGAUAUGCGUAUUGUUUAGGAAUCCAGAACAAAACAAAAUAAAUAAUGAAAACAAUCGUAGCGAGUGGUGCACUGAAUCAGCAGGUUGAUAAGACAAAUUAAGGAUGGAGCGUGUGGAAGAUUAUUAGAAAAAGCGACGUGGCUACUAAUAAAAUCACAAUAAAGCGCAAUAAAAAUAUAAUACUCAGUUUUAAUGUUAAAAUAAAUGUGAUUAAUCAACAGAAAAAAUCAUUAGCCGUGGCGUUGACUGGAUGUUUCUAUUCCCUUCCAGCAAAAACAUCCUCUGCUGGGACAAUAAUACAUUACAUGUCAUACAUAAUACGCCGUAAACUCAAUUAAAAGGUUGAAAGGUGUUGUGUCUUUGGACUAUUCACUUAUUUGCGAACUACUUCUCCUCAAACCGUCAUUCCAAGCAAAUAAAAACAACAAUUUGUGCAGGUUUUGAUCCCUUUGCAAAUAACGCUAGUUUUGUGUAUUGAGCCGCAGGACUCUUGAGUCAAGACUCCAUCUACACAUACAUGUUGACAAAUGGGAAAAUGCAAAUGUUAUAAAUUACAUUAAUCUUAUGGGCUAUCAACAAUUUACUUGAAUUGGAAGUCUAAAAAGAAGGUUCUUUUUUUUACUGAAGUCACAAAUAUCGGCCUGAAAUAUGCAGAUGAAUUAAAAACAAUUAAUUUUGUACAUGCAGUAACCUUUACUGUUAACAAGAUGUCAAGGUCCUACAAACACCAGUGGUACAUUUAACCAGCUCAUAAUAAUAACACCUUAUUGAGUUAACUCCUGCUUUAUAGAUUCAGUCCUAAAUACAAGUUUACAAAACCUUGUGUCAGAGCAGUUGCAUUCUCAAUGUUUUGUGUAAUGUUUUCGCCCCCUGAAGGAUGUACAACAGUGUGAAAACUUGUCAAUGAGUUCCAGAGUUUCCAGAAAUCAAUGCGAGCUACAGGAAGUUUUAAACCUCAUCUUAAGCUACGUAAAAAAAUAAAUUAAAAAAAUGUGUGCAGCUUCAAUACUUCAUCUGCUCACUAAUCUAAACAUAUACAAGUCAUUAUGAACAGAAAGUUCAAACUGGUAACAUACAAUUCCAGGCCUACACAGGCGUCACAUGAGCGUUCUGAUGCAAUUAUCCAGAAAGAAACCAAAAGUCUGGUGGAGGGCAUGCAGAAAGGGUGAGUCAGGCCCUGCAGGACCCACUAUAGGCCGUAUAGAGCUAUGAUGGAAUACCUUUGGAUUAUUACAGGCGUGUUAAAGUGGUGUGACGUUAUUUCCUCUUUUGUGGGGUUCACAUAACUCGUGCAAAAUUCUGCACUGCUCUUCCACCAUUGGAAGACAGACCAGUGUUUGUUCAGGAGUUGCAUAUGACGAAUAUGAUGAAUUGGCCGAUAAUGGGACGCACUUUUUUAAUUAUUGAGAGGACCGGUGGAAGGUAAUCCAGUGACGAACGUGGGCCGCCCUUAUAUUUGAUCUACAGAGCAUGAGAGCACCACUGACGGUCGUUUCUUUAUGCAGUUAUGUCUGCAUCUCCGUCUGUCCGUCUGUCCUGUUGGCAGGAGAGAGCAGCUCCCCAUCAGCAAAGCCCCUCAGCGUUCUGUCAUGCAAUGGGCUGUAAAAAUGCUUAUCCAACACACACACACACACACACACACACACACACACACACACACACACAAACACACACACACACACACACACACACACACACACACACACACACACACACACACACAGACGUCGGUUGUAUGCAUGGGAGUGAGAGAGAUCAAAAAGAUGCAUUGAUUCACGGCUCCACAGUAAAAUAGAACAAAAAAGAUCAUAACUGUGGUUCUGUUGCACCUGCGAAGUGCACGUGUUCAACGACGACAUCACUCCUAAUUGACGAUCGUGCUUGUGAGAUACAGUUGAGGGGUAAAGUGCUUCCAACACAGCUCUGACUUCCUUAUCAUCUUUCCUCCAGAUGCUACAGCUGCCAACAGCAGAACAAAGGUGCCUUGAUUCUGCCGUGUAGUUUUCUAAUGUUGGAAAGACUUUCACGCGAAUUUCACGCAUUUAACUAAUAACAAUAUGACAUUUCAUCACGUGCUACACUCUCUAGCAGGAAUCAACAUGGUUCAAGGAUUUGGUCGAUUUCACCUCUUUUGAUCUUAUUCCAGUUAUAGUGAUUUUCAUAAUAAUUUUGCAACACAAAUGAGCUGACAAGAGGUUGUUUGGUUUGCGUUGUCGUGGUGAUUAUCGGGUGCAGGCAGGCAGGAAAGAGGCACAAUUGUCUGUUGUCUUCUUCCCGUAGACACAACAGAAACUCGUCCAACAACUGAUUUUAGGGUUGUUGUUUUUUACAAGGGCAUCACUUAGUAUUAGUAUCUCGGGAGACUUUUGUAAACUUCUGUUGGUUAGUUAGUUAGUUCUGAAACCGUGGGUGACACACAAUCAGGAACAACAAUAGUGCAUUUUAUGACACAUAUUUAUUUGGUGGUUUAGGGAGUCAUAUCAACAGCUACAGCUACUUGCCUUAGUUUGCACCAGUUGAAACUACACACGUUCUAUUAGGCUCACUUAAUCCGCAGUGCAAAAACUUUUUCCCGUGAAAAGGGGUGUAGCUUUUCAAAGACAUGGAUGAAUAUUAAUUCAUAUUAAUGAUCUUAUAAUAAUAAUAAUAAUAAUAAUAAUAAAACAAUUUAAGUGAAUCCGCUUUAAAUCCCCAAAUAAAAUCAGUCAAUAUAACAAGCAGAGUUAAUUAUCCUUCAUACAAAAUAUGUUGUUUUUUUUUGUCACUAAGCAACGCAAUCAACUUUUUAAUUACAGAAAAUAUUUCACUGUCACAUCAGUGUCCUGGUGGUGAAAAGGAGAAUCUCAGUUUCACAUGCUUUUAAUGUUGCUUCAGAGGUGUUUCCCAUCUUGCCAGUAGACAUUUGUGGUACCUACAGUAUCACUGUGUAGCAUUUUGGGGGUUUUGUUGCAUUGAUUAAAAAGGAGCGUGUUAGCGGAGCCAGGCAGCUUUGAGCUAAACCAAUGCUCACAAGCAGAACCCUCCAUUAAAAUAAUGAAAGCAAUAAAAGCAACAACAACAACAACAACAACAAUAAUAAAACCUUUGGAAAACAUUUCAUAAACCAUCAGCAGCCAAUUAGAGGAGCCGGCGCAGGCUGUGCUUUGUGUGUGAGUGUGUGUCUGUGUGUGUGUUGGGUAUUAGAGCGUUACAGCGCCCAGCCCGGCUGUGCCCUGCAGGCCCGACCUUCUAAUCAUUAUCUGUCUGUCUUAUUACGCUCCAAACCGGGCCACUCUUAAAUAAAAUAUGCAAAGGUUUCUUAAAUGAUGACCCGAGGCUGCGCGCGCCGCCGCUGCUCUACAUGCUGUUAAUCUGAGAAAUGCAAAUUCCCUUCAUCUCGCACUCGCCUUUAUUAACUUUUUUGAAUUUAAAAUUCCACGAACAAUGAGUUCUGUCAGCUUCUGAAAUGAUAUUUUCUCUCCUCUUUUUAUGUGCGCACGGAAGCGAGUUUAGAGCAUGAAAUUACCAGGGGAAAUAUGAGCGGUUUCAUCUCUCCCGCACAAUUUAAUUGGCUGCUUUGCAAUUAUUAGUUUUUGCUGCUAAAGUUUUUCUGUUUUUUUUUUUCCUUUACUGUUUCCUUAAAGUGGCAGCUCACAACAGCGUUUUAUUUUUCAACGUAUACAUACACAUAGGUGUGUGUGUGUGUGUGUGUGUGUGUGUGUGUGUGUGUGUGUGUGUGUGUGUGUGUGUGCGUGUGUGUGUGCCUGCAAUUCCAAAGGCAACCCUUAGUUGGCUGCUCUGAUUGGCCGCUCUGAUUUGCUGGGUGAUUCCAUGUUAGUUACACAGCAUUUUAAUAUUCACAUUUUAAAUUCAGUUUUAUUGUGAGGAAAAAGUCUCUUAAGCUGGUGAUAAUAGACAAAUGGAUGCGUAAAAAGAUCCCUUUAUUAUGCACAAUAGGUUUUUUAGAGUAUCUGCCUUUUCUUGAAUUUGAUUUUUGACAUUUUGUUAUUUUUUUAACUGCAGAUUUCACACACAGAACAAGGUUUAUUCCUCACCUUUUCUCAUGCACCUCUUUUCUUCUACCUGUUCUAUGUCCACGUGUUCUCCCUAACAUCAUUCUCCAUGCUUCUGUCCCUCCGUCAUUCACCUCGUUCUCGUUCUUCCUCUCAGAGGUCCAAAUGGCUCCAGGUGAUUAUGAACUUCUGACUCAACUUCUUCAGACUAUCAGAGAAAUGUUUUUAAGUGUUCAUGCAUUGUGUUCACCUGCCGUCAACUUUGCCUGCAGUUUAUUGCUGAGCAGGCAGCGUACAGGGGGGUCAACUAAAUGACUGAGUACGACCAGAUAGACAAAAUCAAUGAAAAAGAAUUAAAACAAUACUACAAUUAUGGUCAAAAAACAAAACAAUCGCAAAGAGUUGAGAGUAACGUGGAGCCAUGGUGAUUAUUCAGUGUUGAAGGUACUUCCUUUGAGAUCUUACACAUCAGGUCGUGUACUAUGAUCAUUUGCUGCGUUUCGAUGUGAAAAAUAUUUAUUUCUAAUCUCAAAGUGUGUAACCAUGUUCCCCAGAGAUGGAUUUAAAUGUUUACAACAACUGAAAAUUUAAAAUCUGUAUCCUCCACCUCACACUGUGUUUUCCUCUCCAUCUCCUCCUCUGGUCUCUUCCCCCCUGCUUGGCAGCCGAGAGUAAUGGACGAGGUUAUAAGUGUGUGGAGGCUUCAAUUGCUUUAUAGGAAUAAUGACUCUGAACUAAUGUUGAUUAGAAAGAAAUAAGACGCAAACAUAACGAGGGCUCGCGCCUCAUUCCCUUUAAUCGCCGUCCUUAUUUACCUCUCUGCCAGAGUGCUGUUGCUCAGCUUCCACAAAGGAGCAGCAAUAGGAUGUUAUCAGGAACAGGGAAAAACACGGAAAUAGGAAAUAUAUGAAAUAUUGUAUCAGGAAAAAACAACAGUUAAAUUGAUUUUAGCCAGACACAAUAAAGAAUAGUUCAUCCGGCGUUUGUGUAAAAUGAGCAUCCUCAAUAAGACCAUAGGUAAGACCUUGUUGUUAGACCCUCCUUAAACAACCUCAUCUCAUUUCCCCGUCUGUAGAGCAGGCUCUCUACAGAUGUGAGAAAUGUGUGAGGUGUGGAGCCAGAGCCAGGAGGCCACUAGUUUAGCUUAGUUUAGCUUAGCUUAGCUUAGCUUAGCUUAGCUUAGUUUAGCAUGGCGUAGAUUAGCUUAGCCUAAAGACUGGAAGCAGGAGGAAAAGGAGGGCCUGGCUCUGAAGUGACACAUGUCUACUCUUGAAGAGACAGCAAAUGAGUGUUAGAUGGGUUUCAUAUCCCACAAGGAAGGAAAAUAUACAUACAAAGAACAUCUGUCUCAGGAAAGGUUGCCUUCCUAAUCAUUCACCCAGAAAUAAUACAUUAUAUUAAAAAGAGUAACAUUGUUUGUUUAUUCAUGUGUUUGCUAUUCGCUGUACUGCACCACAUACAGAUAGGCGACAAUAUGUUUAAUAGCUUUCGGCCUAUUCGUCAGUGCCUUGUACAUAAUACUACACUAUACAUGUUUUUACUAUCUUGAAAUAUUGGCUAAUAAGUGGAGUGAAUUAGAUUUAUUUUUUAAGUGACAUUCUUCUGCUCUCGCCACCUGUGAUUAUUUUUUACCCGUUAAACACAAAGCAAAUUCCAUGUAAGUAAAAGUGUCAAAUGUGUUCAAAUUUAAAACAGCAGCAGUUUUAUUAACUACACCUGACAGGUAAAAAGAAGAUUUUAAAGCAGCCUGGAACUUUAACUCAGAGAACUCUAUCGUUCAGUCCGUGUUCCCAAAAGACGUUUGCACAAAGCGCCCUCCUCCUCUGUGCCGAGUUGUAGUUUCAGUCUGAGAACAUUCUCCCUGUAACACCCCCACAAUCCCUGCAUUUCUCCGCUCUCAUCAAGCUCUUGCUCUUGUCCUUGCCGCUCAACUGCUGUACUUCAAAGUACUUUCACCAGCACCUUUCUCCUCCUCCUCCUCCUCCUCCUCCUUCUCCCCCACAAACCAUUUAGUUUUGCCCUCAGUGUUAAAAAAAAUAACUUCCACGCUGCCUCCCGACAUGCAGAAGAUGAUGAUGCUGUUUUUGCUGCAGCGGCACAAAGAAAUGCUUUGUUUUGAAAUACGGUAAAGACGGGAUAAAUGUGAUACAAGCAUCAGAAUGCUACAUUUCAUGAAUCUUAAAAUCAUCUACGAAUAAUCAACACUGUCAUAACAUCUGCAAUGUUGCAGAUGACGCAAUGGAAAGCAAUUAACUGGUGUGCGUCUGUGAUGCAUGGUUGUGAUGCCGUUUGGAGGAGCAAUUGAUUAGGCCCGCCGGAUCUCAGCCAGGAGCUCAGUGCAUUGUGGGUGACGGAGCGGGGAGGGGGGGGGGUUUGGGGUCCGUGGUGACGACGGCACAUCCACGCAAACGCACCGAUUUAUCCACCCUGUGAUAUUGUUGGUAUUGAAUAAUUCAAUGAUUUUAUCAGCCCCAACCACAACAAAUGACUUAAUUAUGCUAAUCGAAGCCACAAACUCUGAGAGAUGUUAGUGUGAGUGUGUGUGUGUGUGUCUGCUGGAUUGACAGAAGCCUACGGGCCUCAGCACCGAAACGCUGAUCUGGAAUUUCACAUCCUUAUCCCAAAAGCCUUAGGACACACACACACGCACACACACACACAAGUGAGCGCACACACAGACACACAUACACACACACACACACACACACACACACUGCCCAAAGAGCCACCGGGCGAUUAGCACUACUCUACCUAGAGUCUUUUGAUUUGCAUAGCAAGUCAGAUGGAAUUCAUAUCAGUGUGCAGCAAGUGUGACACACACACGCACACACACACACACACAAACACACACACACACACACAUACCUACAUAAGAGUAUGCACAAGCAAAAAAACACACACGCGCACACAGAGCGUGUGUAAAGUGAACACGAAGCAGUUGUGAUUUCUUUUCUGGCGUCUCAGUGAGGUUAUAAUUCACAAUGAUGGACUGUCUGUGUCUGCAGUGCAUCACCCAGGGCAACACACACACACACACACACACACACACACACACACACACACACACACACACACACACACACCUGUGGUCUGCACACACUGACAACAUGAAGAUGAACAGCAGCCCGCUCAACGUUGACGAAAGAGAGGUAACAGCAUCGCUUCUUUCUUAGACGGUACACAUGACAGAGAGCUGAGGUCGGCUCGUUGUGAGCAGACUUCCGUUGUUUCUUACAACUCAACACAAAUACCAAUGACUUCAAUCAGAUGUUUUCAAUAGCUGCUAUUUUCUCCCUUAAGUUUAGAUUUGAUUUUGAUUCAAGCCAGAAGUCGCUGGGUAAGAAGGCCUUCAGAUCACCGGAGCUCUUAAACACCCCAAGCUGGUUUGCAUUUAUAGAUUUACAGAGAAAAAUGGGGAUUUGGGACAGUUUAGCAAAGCUGCACAGUCAGGCAGCAAGCAACAAGUAAGUUGUUUCAAAUCCAAACGACGGAUAGUGGAUGGAAUCGUGGAAAUGGGAUUUUCUUUUUAACUUGUGAGGGGGCCCAAAAGGACUUUUCCCCUCGGACUUACUUUCUGAAAUAGUCAUCUUCAAUUUAGCACAUCAUUGUUUUUGUAAAUCAACAGCCCUGGUUGAGAAGCUUUUUAGGUUAUCAUUAGAUCCCAAAAGUUGCCAAAUGUAAACUUAUUUUCCUUCAUCCCUCAUGAAGCUGAGCGACUGGGAGGCGGGGUUAAAGGGAGCGCCGGAGCUUAAGCGCUGUAGAAUAGAUCCAUUGAUGAUCUGGGAAAUUUUAUAGCUGGCAGUCGAUCUGUAUCCACAUGUUUCUACGGACCCACAUUGACAGCAGCAGGGUCAUUCAUGGGAGACAUUCUAUUUUUCUCAUGAACCACUGUAGUUAACUGGUCUAAGGUAUCUUCCAACGCUACAUGUGUGCUAAAAAACUCAAAUAUAUUCUGUAUGCAAAUCAAACAUUUCCCCCGUUUGACAUUCCAUUGAUGUAAAUUAACAGCUUUCCUUUUCAACAAAAGCAGAUUCUUGUUCGUAUUACAUUUCUCUUUUGAGAAUUUUCCAUCAACUAUUGUAACAGGACAAAGCACACUAGCACACCCAGUGUGUUGGGGGCCACAAAGUCAACACAAAAAUGUUUGGAGACUUAGCGAUUUGCAGUCAGAACGUUUGGCUUUUUCUCAACAAAUGAGGUUCUCUUUUGACAAUGAAAAACAAACUAGUAAACUCGGCCCGUUUCCAUUGUUCUCCUGUCAAACUCAGUGUUCGGUCCACAUUGUGGAGCAGAACAGCCUGACCACGAACACUGCAAUUGAACGGUUUUAUGGAAAACAGCUGUGUUGAAUCUGUUCCAGCCCCCUUUUUUUUCACCUCAUGAAUGAAAUUUCCCAUGCUGCACUGCUCCAGGCUCUGGCACCGAGGAGGUAGAACGCUCUCCCUCUCUCCCUCUCCCUCUUUCUCUCUUUGUUUAAUGCCUUCAAACACCGUAUUGCCGUUUGUCAAUUACUGACACACGUUUUGGCAACAAACACGGCAUUAAUUGAAACAUUUAAUUAGCAUUAAAACCAGUAGUAAUUAACACCUUUUUUCUCCGGCGCACUCUGAGCCAGGCUCAAAUUCUAUUAAGGCUCUAAGCAGCUCACCGUUUCCCUGCUCUGCACUGACUUUUUGUAGCAUCGACAAAUGUGUGUGUGUGUGUGUGUGUGUGUGUGUGUGUGUGUGUGUGUGUGGGCGUGUGUUUAUGUGUGUGCACGCACGCAGGGCCCCAGGUAAGGAGCUUCCGUGAGGAGUGGAGCACCAAGGCCGGGCCCGCUGGGUGCCCAGGGGAGGAGGAGAAGAAAGGCUGUUGAGGAGGGAGGCGAAGGCGAAGUGAGGAAAAAUAAAUAAUAAAAAGCAGGGAGCAGGUCAAGAUGGGAGGGAGGGGGGUGAGAAAGAAAUAAGGUGGGAGGCGAAGGAAAGGCAUGAAUGAGGGAGGUGGGCGAGAGGGAGCGACAGAAGGAUUAAAAGCAGAAGGGGGGGUGAAGAAGAAGAUGAAGAAGAAAGGGAGGGGCUUGUGAAAAGUGAGAAAGAGAAGAAGCAGAGCGACUGUUUGAACACACACACACACACCGUGAGGAUUAACCAAUACUUUUGCGUGUGUGUGUUUUACAUACAGUUCAUGUUUGCACAUACUUGUGUGUGUGUGUGUGUGUGUGUGUGUGUGUUGUGGUGUGUGUGAGGCCUACUUGGAGCCAAAGCAGGGGCCUGGAUUAGUUGCGUUUGCCAGAGCUGGGGGGCAGGAUUAGCAGGCCCGGGCUGCUGUCUGACGCCGCUCUGCCACCACUAAUGGCAUUAUUAAUAGGCAGCUAAAAAAUUCAUUAAAAAAUCUAUUAAAAAUAAAUGUGUUUUACAUAAGACUUUGCCCCAGGUAGAAGGGAGGCAGGGGGAGAGGGAGGGGGGGAGACAGAAUGGGCGAUUGUUAGCUUUGAGGUCAGCUGAAUAUCACAGUUCAGCCUCAGCAGAGAGAAGUAAACACAACAACGCUCGUGUGACCGGAAACGUGCCGCUUGUGGGGUAACGAGGACAAAGCGACGCGGCCGACGUCCACGAGGCUCAGAGUGCACGUUAAAACACACGUCCGCUGUUCCUGUCCUACACAGCCGGUAGAUUGUGAACGAAAAAGUGAGAAAAUGCACCAUGAGCCGAUGACUCCCCCUAUGUGAACGUGUGUGGCCGGGUCGCAUAACAGGGUAAGAAAACUGGGUCAUUUUCCUUUUCUUUCAUAUGUUAGUUUGAAGCCAAAAAUAUAUCAUUGCCGUGCAAAUAAAUGUCACACCGAGCUCACAUUCACACACUGUGUUGGUCCAAAGCAUCGUCUGCAUCAAAGUAUUUAAAAGUGAUUAGCGUCGUCCUGUGAGUGAAACGGUCAGGAGUUAUUAUCUGAGAGGCGGAGGCGAGGGGGGGAGGCUGAAGGUGAGACGGUUCUGCUUUGUGUGCGCCCUGCGGACAUUUUAACCAAAUCAGAUUAACAACAAUAGCUGUGUCUAAACGCACACACACACACAGAUCUGAAGGGGGAGCACGGGGGGCAGUUACACGUGGCAGCUGCCGGCUGAAAGACGUUAUCUUUUGAAUUUAUGUGUGUUUAUUUCAUGUUACAUGCGAUCAGACCAAGACAGCAACUGAUUUUGGAGUCCGCCUACCACCCCCCCCCACCCCCCCCCCACACACACACACACAUUUUCUAUUUAUCUGAAAGGAGCAUAGUUGUAUUCCUGUUACAAAAUACGGGACUCAAAAUUGUGAGAUCAGUAGCUUUCACCGAAUAACCUGAGCUGGUGUUCAAUUAAUAAGCUGCCUCACAGCGACGGGGAUCCUUCUCUUAUGAGUGAUGCAUCACGAUUCAAUCAAUAUUAGUGAACAUUGGCUUAAUAAACAUGACAUAGAAGAAGGUAGAGGCACAAAUACCUGAAUACAUUUUGACCGAUGCAUUAUCAGAGAGUCAGAAAAAUAACCUAAAACCACAAUUAUUAGUCUAAAAUCAUUUUAAUACAGCGAUGCAGCAUAACACGGAAAAAGGGUUUUAGAAGUACUUUUAAAACCCCCUCAGCAAAGAAACAAUGAUAAAUAUAAACAAAACAAAAACCCACUGACGCACUGAUCAUGGGAUUGUGCACCAGUGAGUCCAGCCUCGUCCCUCAUGCUUCAUGGUCAUCGGUUGACACGCGGACUAUGGAACCAUUUACAUAACAAAGCACCAGAAACAACGGAUACACACAAAAGCGUUGGGGAACUCUUUACAACAUCUUCCCCCUCCGUAAGGGAGGGGCACACAAGCACCCGUGUUACAUCAUCAUGGCGAAAGGACAACGCACCAAGAAUGAUAACAAAUACAGCACAAGUUAUGUGUUUCCUGUUUGCUAUGAGUGGGAGGAGCUUGCAGGCCUCUGAACCGUAAAUCACACAUCGAAUCUCUCAGAUACUUCACUGAUCACAUUGCCGGUCAGUUAGACAGUUGAAACAAACAACCCAAUCGAUAUCGAAUCAGAGAUUUGUAGGCAAGAGCAAGAAAAUCACCUACCUGAUUGAAUGGCGGCAGACAUGGUGAGAAAAGCAGCAGCUCGCAGAAACACAUUGAGAUUUUACAAAUUGUUGAAUUCAAUAUUUCAGUGUGAUGAACAUCAGCUGCAACUGUAACAAGCACCGCUGCAGCUUGAAACUGAAAAAGACUGUGCAGAUAAACAGAACCGUUAAAUAUAAUCACAACCCACGUUUCUGUAAUCUGAACCUGGAUUUUUCACUUGAUGCUUGAAACUAAAUCUCAUUUUACUUUGGCUCUUUGGGCUAAACUCGCACUUGGCAUCACAUUAUCCAUCAAACACUUGUUGGGGAGAUAUUUAAGGUCUUUAAGAAUAUGUCAGCAGAGGGAUUCUCAAUCAGAGCUGGAAAAAAAAGGCAACUUGAGUCAAACGAGGGAGGGCAGAAAGUAAAAGGCAGGAAGGAGAAAAAGACAGCAGAAAGUCAGCAACAUUCACACUCAAAGCAAACAUCAAACAUCAUCAAACACUCUGAAUGAGACACUUUGAUCUGCCUGGCUCCACAGGAAGCCAGCAUCUUUAGAAAAUCCUCCAAAUGUAAAUUAAUUUACUACAGAAAGAAAUCCCGAGGCACUUGUGCGUGCAACCCAACGCCAGACAUCAGAGGGUUAAAACCCAAACUCUGCAACUCAGCCCACAGAGACGGUUCAGCCCUGCUGACGGGAUGUUAAACCAAGCCCCCCCCCUGCACCCACCCCCCCCAACCAACAUUCAAACUGACACACGUGACAGAAAUUCACAUUCCAGUCCGUCCCCAAACAAGAUGGGGGAAUCUGUGUGAUAACGAUAAUCGUGUGUGAGUCUACAGCCGGCCCUCGUUGUUCCGCUGCCUUUCAGGCCGCACCCGCCUCCUGGUGACCUGAUAUGGGACAAAGGAAUUUUCAUAACCGUAAACGACGAGACGUACGCAUUGAGCGUGGAAGAGAAAGGACCAGUUGGGCCGAGGGGCUUGCAUGCUGUUAUUGUUAUUGAUAUGAUUAUGGGGGGGGUGGUAACCAGUAACCAGUGGUACGUAUAUUCAUCCACACAGACAUUCCUUACCUUACCUCCCUCCCCUCCCUUGUUAUUGACGACACAUUACGUUUAACAUGGGAUUUUCUCACCCUUUUACUCGCCUGCAGCGGAUCCCAAUGGGUUUAAAACAGCACCAUGUUGAGCAAUGUUGGACUCUUAACGUCCCGUGAAGUCUUAUUCACGUUUAUGUCAAAAUGGGAUUCUCGAAAAUUCAGGGUUGUCUAACCCAUUUUUAAAUGUUUCUUAUAUGAUUAUUAUUAUUUAUUUUUUUACUUGAGACAUUAAAAAAAUGUACUUAAUAUGACAAAUGUAAACAAAAUGGCCUACGGUAUCAUUACACUCGUGUAUAUCGUUAUGAUGUAAGUGCAUCACACCAAUAAUUGAAUUAAUAAUGUAAAAAAAAUAUCUAAUAUGAUAGAAUUGCAGAAA
ensembl:lncRNA